rnacentral:tRNA from 2 species
AAAGAAUUAGUUAAUAAAUAACAUAAAUAUGUCAAAUUUAAAUUAUUAUAAAAAUAAUAUUCUUUU